rnacentral:rRNA from 1 species
GACGAACGCUGGCGGCGUGCUUAACACAUGCAAGUCGAACGGAAAGGCCCUGCUUGCAGGGUGCUCGAGUGGCGAACGGGUGAGUAACACGUGGGUGAUCUGCCCCUUACUUUGGGAUAAGCCUGGGAAACUGGGUCUAAUACUGGAUAGGACCAUGCUGUAGGUGGUGUGGUGGAAAGAUUAGUUUCGGUAAGGGAUGAGCUCGCGGCCUAUCAGCUUGUUGGUGGGGUAAUGGCCUACCAAGGCGUCGACGGGUAGCCGGCCUGAGAGGGUGGACGGCCACAUUGGGACUGAGAUACGGCCCAGACUCCUACGGGAGGCAGCAGUGGGGAAUAUUGCACAAUGGGCGCAAGCCUGAUGCAGCGACGCCGCGUGGGGGAUGACGGCCUUCGGGUUGUAAACUCCUUUCAGCCGUGACGAAGCCCUUGUGGUGACGGUAGUGGUAGAAGAAGCACCGGCUAACUACGUGCCAGCAGCCGCGGUAAUACGUAGGGUGCGAGCGUUGUCCGGAAUUACUGGGCGUAAAGAGCUCGUAGGUGGUCUGUCGCGUCAUUUGUGAAAGCCCGGGGCUUAACUCCGGGUUGGCAGGUGAUACGGGCAUGACUGGAGUACUGUAGGGGAGACUGGAAUUCCUGGUGUAGCGGUGAAAUGCGCAGAUAUCAGGAGGAACACCGGUGGCGAAGGCGGGUCUCUGGGCAGUAACUGACGCUGAGGAGCGAAAGCAUGGGUAGCGAACAGGAUUAGAUACCCUGGUAGUCCAUGCCGUAAACGGUGGGCGCUAGGUGUGGGUUUCCUUCCACGGGAUCCGUGCCGUAGCUAACGCAUUAAGCGCCCCGCCUGGGGAGUACGGCCGCAAGGCUAAAACUCAAAGGAAUUGACGGGGGCCCGCACAAGCGGCGGAGCAUGUGGAUUAAUUCGAUGCAACGCGAAGAACCUUACCUGGGCUUGACAUGCACUGGAUGCGGCCAGAGAUGGUUGUUCCCUUUGUGGCUGGUGUGCAGGUGGUGCAUGGUUGUCGUCAGCUCGUGUCGUGAGAUGUUGGGUUAAGUCCCGCAACGAGCGCAACCCUUGUCUCGUGUUGCCAGCAUUUGGUUGGGGACUCGCGGGAGACUGCCGGGGUUAACUCGGAGGAAGGUGGGGAUGACGUCAAAUCAUCAUGCCCCUUAUGUCCAGGGCUUCACACAUGCUACAAUGGCUGGUACAGAGAGUUGCGAUACCGUGAGGUGGGGCUAAUCCCGUAAAGCCAGUCUCAGUUCGGAUUGGAGUCUGCAACUCGACUCCAUGAAGUCGGAGUCGCUAGUAAUCGCAGAUCAGCAAUGCUGCGGUGAAUAAGUUCCCGGGCCU